UACGAAGGGAGCUAGCGUUGUUCGGAAUCACUGGGCGUAAAGCGCACGUAGGCGGAUGUGUCAGUCAGGGGUAAAAUCCCGGAGCUCAACUUCGGAACUGCCUUUGAUACAGCACGUCUUGAGUCCGAUAGAGGUGGGUGGAAUUCCUAGUGUAGAGGUGAAAUUCGUAGAUAUUAGGAAGAACACCGGUGGACGAAGGCGGCCCACUGGAUCGGUACUGACGCUGAGGUGCGAAAGCGUGGGGAGCAAACAGG
rnacentral:rRNA from 1 species